GCAAGCUAAAGAACCAUUGUGAACAGUGAAGACUUUUUUUUCCCCUUCAAUUAUUUUUGUAUCGGGAACUAUGAGGCACAUAUAAAAAUCCACAGGAAGUGGGAAAGAUUCCUCAUUACCUGCCUGGAGGCAAUUCACUUGCUUUUGGCAAAGCUGUUAUAAACUGACAAAUACACAAGAUGGAUGACAUUGUAACACACACCUAGUGCAGAAAUGGAGUGCAGAAUGAAAUGAUCCAUAUCAGGGGGAAAAAGGAGCCACGGAGAGGCUGAACAGCUGUGAGGCUUCCACACAGCGUCAGCUCUGAUAAGAAAUCAAGCCCCGACUUUUACAUUCAUUUUCCUGAGGAUGAUAGCAUCUUUUCUGUAUUAGCUCCCUGUCAUGAUUCUAUCAAUCAUGUCGGAGCCACUGAGUGAAAUUUAACACGAGCGCUGCAGAACGUAUUGCUUCGUUGAUAACCAUUUAAAUGAACUCGUUUAAGAUUAACAUAAUGCUAAAUUAUAUGACAUUACUUCUUUGGUACAACAUAAGCUCAGCAGCUGAGAUGCAAAAUUGCCCGUCGACUUAUGAAUGGAUCAAGAAAAUGUCGUAUAGAUACAUUAUAUUUAAUGACAUUAAAAUCAUUAAUUCCUGUUUCCUUAAAAAUAAUCCCCAGGAGAGUGUAAUUCCUUCUGACCAAUUCGGUUCCAUUUUGUUCAUCUUGGCAUCCAAUUAUUUGAAGGCAACGUUUUAUCGAAACAUCUUUUAGCUCUCUGUACCUUUUCUGUUUAGUGUGUAGGGCUGGAGUUCCAGAUUUGGACCUGUUUUUGAGAUUAUCUUCCUGCAAUAGCCCUCCGGCCUCUGAACUUCUGCCCAGGGGAAUUCAAGUUCUCAUGCAGAGGUGGAGGGCAGUGAGCCACAGAGAGCUAUAGACCCCACCUGCUCCAUGAUGUGUGAGGGGCUUUGGGCAGGACACCCCACUUAGCUUUUCUGCCUUCAUGUUUCAAAUGGCACCAACACAGCUUACUCCGUGUGAUAGCUGGAAGAGAGAAAUGACUCAUUAGGGUCUUAUUAAGUAUAGCUACAAUAAGGACAGUUUUGUUAUGGGCACUGGGAAACGAGUCAGGUGUGUGGACAUCUGGCACCUCAUCUAACCUUAGCACUCAAGGGUACACAGUCUCGCGUUGGUCAACUUUUUCAUUGCUGUGACCAAAAGACCCAUCAGAGACAACUUAAAAGAGGAAAUGUUGAUUUUGGGCUCAUGAUUUCAGAGGGUUGAUCUCUACUGGGCCAAACUUAUUACUCUGGUCCAAGGUAGGGCAGAAUAUCAUGGCACUGGUGUGUUGGAGGAGUGCUGGUCUGUUCAUGGUGACCAGGGGCGGGGGUAGGGAAUGCCUCUGUUGACCCCACCUCCUCUAGUCACAUCCUACCUGCAUACAGUUACAGCCAGUCAGUUCAUUCAAACUAGGAUGAUUAUGUUACAGUUCUCAUAAUCUAAUCUUUUUGCCUCUGAAUAUUCUUGUAUUAACACGGCAAAUUUUGGGGGGACACUUCAUAUCCAAACCAAUACAGAUCACACCUGGGAAAACUUCUCUCAGCACAAGGAGGGGGGAGAGUAAUUAUUUUGCCGUAGCUGGAGCUUAAGUUUCAGACCUGAUGCUAGGCAGUAAGUUGUAAAAGUGUAAGUUAUGUAUUUAACUUUUUAGAGUCUUGGUUUUGGUCUAUUUCAAAUGGUGUUGAUAAUAGUGCCUUCUAGAUUUUAUAGCACUAUUAUGAGAGAACAAUUAGUAGAGAUACAUAUUUUAAUAAGUAAAAGCCUUACUGCAUAUGCAAUACUAUCAAUAUUCAUAUUCAUAAAACAUAUUACAGAUAGCGUCACAGAAAUGGAUUUCUCUGCCCACCCCUUCCCUUAACACCCUUCUAGUUGGAAUCAAGUCUUUUCUCGUCUGUACUCCAUUAUACCUUCAGCUUUGUUUUCACUCAUUGUAUUGGGUCUCAUGCUUUUAUCACUUGAGUGUAUAUUUUUAUGCUCAAUAGAAUGUAUGCUCUGUGGGGCAAGGAACAUAACUUAGUAUUGAUCAUGCACAGUGAGUCUCUCAAUAAAUAAGGAAUUGAAUGUCCUCAGUCAGCUAGAGUGGUCUUUCUAAUGAUGGUAACCACUUCCGAACCCCUGUUACCUAUCCCCUUCUCUAUUGCAUGUGUCACAAGAUCUCAGGGAGCUUGAGAUCUUGAACAUUGUUGAAUUUCUCACCAACUUUUUAUAGGUGGAGAGUGAAGACACAGGUAGUUACCUCCCUGUCUUUCCAGUAUUCUUGUCUCAGCUCAAAAAAGUCUUCAGAAUUUUCCACAGAAGAUAUUACAUAUUUACAAGUAUUUCUAAAGCUGAGAGCAAAAUUUGAAAACUGUAGCCCAAAACUCUUAAAACUGAGGGAAAUCUAGUUUUAAAAAACAUUUCAUUGAUUAAGACCAUCCCGGUCUGCAAUGACUCAAAUUCAAAGGUGUAAUGAAUCUGAGGUAGUUUUUAGAUAUCAAGCUAAUCCUCAUUGACUUUGUUAACGAUGUAUUUCACAGAGCAGAAAAUUGUAGUUUUAAUGAAGUCUAAUUUUUCAUUUCUUUCAUUCAUGGGUUAUAUUUUUAGUGGGUUAUAUUUUUAGUGUUUUAUUUAAAAACUCACAGCCAAUCUCAG
rnacentral:lncRNA from 1 species